CUUUGACUAAGCGAGAGAGACAAAAAGAAAGGGAACCAGAAGGCGUCGCGCAGCAGCAGGAGAACAGGUCGCGCAGCAGCAAGGAGGGCAGAGUCGCGCGAGGGGCAGAGGUCAGAGUCGCCCGGAGAAUCCUUUACCCAUCCGAGAGGCCCGCGGUUUGAGGCCGGUUCGGACCAGAGAUUACCCAACCGGUAUGUAUUCUCAGAGGAACUACGGUAAUUGGACCCGUCAAGGUCUUGAGGCUGAGGCGCCAGCUGCCUUCCCUCCUCCAACUUCCAACUUGCGGCAACUUAUUAGGAUGUAUGGUCAUGAUAAUGGGAAUAAUGGUCCAAAGGCUCCUCCUAGUGUCCCAUAUCUCAAUUAUCAAGAGCAUUAUUCUUUGCAUGGAAUCCAAAAGUCCCACCUCUUUCCAACUCCCUCACUUCCUCCUCCCCCCACAUACUGGCCCCCACGCCCAAUCAAUUCGCAGCCUCAGCAGCCUAAUUGUCCACUCUUCAAUCAAAAUUCAGGCCUCAUUACUUCAUUUCCUGCGAAAACUUUCACUCAAACUUUCACUCAGUCAUUGGCUCCCCAGCAAAUCCAAUCAACUGGUGAAACAAACUCCUUAACAUUGCAGCAGAAGAGAAAAGAGAAGAAAAUGCAGAGGAAGAGGAACAUAAAAGAGGCAAAAGGUAAGGGGAUAUAUUGCCCGACCAUUCAGCGGAAGGCAAAGGAUAAGGAAAAGAGGAAGAGGCUGAGGAAGCAAAAAGAGGCCGAGGAAGCAAAAAGAGGCCAAAACUAAGAAGAAUAUGUGCUAUGAGGACGUAAGUCCUUUGUCAGAGUUGUUGGUGGCUGAAGAUGAUGUUAAAUUGGAUAUCGAUAUCAACACAGGAGGGAUGUCUAUGCAAAUUCCGGAUAUAUCGUCAAAGAGGAUUAGUGUUGAACCUUCCCAAAACAUAUGCAAUGGCGUGUCCGAAUGCUUAGAUACAGAUACGCCAUUUGACUCCCUUGCAAAUGCAUAUGACCUGAGACGACAAAGGAGAAUACCUAUAAAGUUGGCCCAGUGGAAUGUUUUGUAAUGACAAAGGGUUAAUGGAAUUGCAACCAUAGAAAUAGUGGGUCAUUUGUUGGAUAAGAAUCCAUUCAGAAGUUUUCUUCGUCAAGGAUGUGGUGCCUAUCUUGAGAUGGUGGCUACAGUUAAACAAGACUGAUACUAUGUAUGGUUGCUUGAGUGGAGCGGUGCUCAGCCAUAUAAUGGUUGCUAUGAAUAGGUGUAGAAUUUGCCUGGUAAACAAAAGCUCCAAAGCCUCACAGGCCAUGGGUUACUCAGGCUUCUCAUUGGAUCUGCAUGCAUUGAUUCUUUCUGUGAGUCCUCUCAUGCCCGUGCACAACUUGGUAAGACCUUUGA